GAUGAACGCUAGCGGGAGGCUUAACACAUGCAAGUCGAGGGGUAAAUGGUAGCAAUACUAUGAGACCGGCGGACGGGUGCGUAACGCGUAUGCAACAUACCUUUAGCAGGGGGAUAGCCCGUGGAAACGCGGAUUAAUAUUCCAUAGUCCAGCAGUAUCGCAUGGUAUCACUGGUAAAGAUUAAUCGGCUAAAGAUUGGCAUGCGUCUGAUUAGUUAGUUGGUAGGGUAAUGGCCUACCAAGGCGACGAUCAGUAGGGGUUCUGAGAGGAUUACCCCCCACACUGGUACUGAGACACGGACCAGACUCCUACGGGAGGCAGCAGUGAGGAAUAUUGGUCAAUGGGCGGAAGCCUGAACCAGCCAUCCCGCGUGAAGGAAGACAGCCUUACGGGUUGUAAACUUCUUUUCUGUUUGAAGAAUAAGCCCGUUGAGACGGGUGAUGCCGGUAGGACAGGAAUAAGCAUCGGCUAACUCCGUGCCAGCAGCCGCGGUAAAAGUCACGUCGC
rnacentral:rRNA from 1 species